UACAGAGGUCUCAAGCGUUGUUCGGAUUCAUUGGGCGUAAAGGGUGCGUAGGCGGCGCGGUAAGUCGGGUGUGAAAUCUCGGAGCUUAACUCCGAAACUGCAUUCGAUACUGCCGUGCUUGAGGACUGGAGAGGAGACUGGAAUUUACGGUGUAGCGGUGAAAUGCGUAGAUAUCGUAAGGAAGACCAGUGGCGAAGGCGGCUUCUUGGGCCUUUACUGACGCUGAGGCGCGAAAGCCAGGGGAGCGAACGGG
rnacentral:rRNA from 1 species